GUUAUUCCGUUGACAGUUAUUAAAACUUCUCAUUCUUUCAUUUUCAUUUGUACUUCACAGCGGCAAAUCUAAAAAUACGUAAAGAAGACCAGGCUCACAGCUGCAGCUGCGGCAGGGCGUGUUCCGGCAGUACUUGCUGUGGACACGCCCAGCAUCCCGCCUACGUCGUGCACAGUCUUGAUCGCUGUUGUGCAGGUUGCGUCGUGCGAAGAGCUCGACCUGCAGCAGCGAUUCAUGGACAAAGCGUGCUUCAACGAGAUCCAAACACAUUCGACGUUUGCAGCGGAACAGCUAAAACAUGGACAUGCACAGUCUUGCACAGUCUUGUUCCCUGUUGUCAGGUUGCGUCGUGCGAAGAGCUCGACCUACAGCAGGGAAUCAUGGACAUGUAACAUCAUGGAACAGCUUAAACUAUGACCACCAAGUCGUCGCGCAGAACGCAGUUGGGCAGACCAGAAUGCUAUCAACCCCGGCAUCCGCAGCGGCAAAAAUGAAUCGAAUAACUGUUUAACCCGUUCGAUUAGGUUGCCAUCGUCACGCAACACAAUCACCGGUAUAUGCAGCACGGGACCAGAUCGUUGGACGUCAUACAGCCGUUGAAGUUUUUGCAGAGCAAGGUGCCAUCAAGACGUUACUCCACCACCUGAACCCUGGACUCCACAGACUAAUUACCAAAAUAAAAAGAAACACAAACAUUUUGGAACGAACGAAAUUUUCAACUGUGCUCAAAAUAAAAACCAAAACGAAUUAAGCAA